rnacentral:rRNA from 1 species
UACAGAGGGUGCGAGCGUUAAUCGGAAUUACUGGGCGUAAAGCGUGCGUAGACGGUUAUUUAAGUCGGGUGUGAAAGCCCCGGGCUCAACCUGGGAAUUGCAUUCGAGACUGAAUAGCUAGGGUACGGUAGAGGGAAGCGGAAUUUCCGGUGUAGCGGUGAAAUGCGUAGAUAUCGGGAGGAACACCCGUAGCGAAGGCGGCCGACUGGACCACACCUGACGCUGAGGCGCGAAGGCCAGGGGAGCGAACGGG